rnacentral:rRNA from 1 species
UACGGAGGGUGCAAGCGUUAUCCGGAUUCACUGGGUUUAAAGGGUGCGUAGGCGGACAGGUAAGUCAGGGGUGAAAUCCCGGGGCUCAACCUCGGAACUGCCUUUGAUACUGCAAAUCUCGAGUCCGGAAGAGGUGAGUGGAAUUCCUAGUGUAGAGGUGAAAUGCGUAGAUAUCAGGAGGAAUACCGGUGGCGAAAGCGACUCUCUGGACGGCAACUGACGCUGAGGCACGAAAGCGUGGGGAGCAAACAGG